GCCAUGUCAGCGUGUUGGCUCUCUCCUGCGUUUUCAUGCUCACCUCCUUCUCUUCUGUCAUUGGCAUUGGUUCAGUGGUCAGUUCCCCCUACAUUCAUCUCUUAAUACUCAUUUUACCGUUUCACUACUUUUUUUUGUUUAUAAUUUGAAUUUGUUAAAGAAUAUCAAAUAAAUAUAAUCCAUAGAACCCUCCCUAUAUUUCAACACCAAUCAGUUCGGAUUAUAUUUAUUUGAUAUUCUUUGACAAAUUCAAAUUAUAAACGAAAAGAAAAGGAGAAAAAUCCGAUUGGUGAAACCGUAAAAAGAGUGUUAAGAGAUGAAUGUAAAGGGAACUGACCACUAAAUCAAUGCCAGUGACAGAAGAAAAGGAAGUGGUCUUGAAAACGCAGAGCCAACACACUGACAUGGCCCGCAAACAUUGUGGAGAUAAGUUCAAUGACGAAAUUAAGAAAAUUUACCAUAAUUAAAGGUCCUGCCAGACAUAUUUGCUUUCUCAUUUUUUUAAUCACUAAACUUAACUUAUUUUGCCCGGAUAUGUGAGGCUUUAACAGAGACACGGGUAUUAUUCUCUAAUUUAUAUGUUUUUCAAUCUCAAAUAACAGAGUUUACGAAGAGUUCUGUGUUGCAACACAAUAAGUUAGGUUUAUAUUUAUGGUUUAAUUAUUCUGCAGGUCCCUAUAAUUUCACCAAAUUUUCAAUUAGGUCUUUAUAUUUUUUUUUUAACUUUUCGAUUGGAUCCCUGUACAUUAAAUUUUUUUCAAUUAAGUCUCUGCCGUGAGAAUAACAUUUAAGGUAACAAAAUAUUCUCUUUAAAAAACUAAUAUUCUUAUGAAUAGGUUAGAAUAGCUAGUUGAACAUACAUCUAUUUUUUAGAAUUUGGAUCCUCUAAAUUUUAAAUUUGUACUUUAGAGGGUAAAGUGUGAUCUUCUACCCUUGAAUGGUUUCUCUCUCAUAUUUAUUCUUGGUUCCACCUAUAAAAUAAAUGGUGAGAGAUCACACUUAAAUCUCUAAAGUGAAAUUCAAACUUUAGAGAAUCCAAAUCCUGUGCACUGCGUUUCUCCUCCAUUGGUCCAUCUUCUUCAUCCAUAGCCGCCGUCGUCCAUGGCGGAGGCUUGGUAGUCAUCCGUCCAUCGCAUCCUUCUCUCUGCGCUGCUCUGUUCUGUGUUGCUUUGUUCUAUGGUCUUCUGUGCUGUUUGCCCGUCGAAGCCCUCGCCGUGCCUCGCCUCACGUCACCUCGCUGCGACGCGCCGCGAUCUGCCUGUACUCGAUUUGUCAAAACAGGGUUGCUUCUGUUGAUAGUGAAGAUGCUUUUGAUUCAGCUUCUGAAGUAAAUGUACAUGGAUGGACUAUCAACACUAAGUACUAUACUGCUGAUGUUUCUGUGUCAUCUUGGUGAUGAUUUUUCUGUCCGGAACCUGCCCGUGUUUGUGAUGGUUUUUGACACGAAUAAUCCAUCUUCUCUAACUGCUAUCUAAGAUUGUGUAUCUGGCUUGAUAUUCAAAACUUUGAUAUGAUCAUGUAUGAUUGCAUAUAUUUGCUUUUAUAUGCAAUAAAUUGUUGGGACACCUGAUGAACUCAAGUAUGCUCUCUCAGAAUUCUUCUCGGCUCGAAAUCGGCCGUUAUCAAUGUUAUUAUUGAUCUCUAUACUGGUUCAGAGAGUGGGAGGCUGCAACACAAGAACUGAUUUUCAGAUUUUAAAUUCAAUAAUACAAAUUACAUAGUCUUGUAGUUUUCUAUGGUGUAUCAUGAUAUAAUAAAGACACAAAUUAUAUUCCAUAAAUCUACACAAAUGUAAAAUGUUACAUGAUCACAAUUGUAAACUUAUUACUACUAUUUCUAUUUCA